CGACAGCAUGUUUGUUUGAGUUGAAGGAAAUAAUCCAGUAUGAAGAGAGUGAUUUACGGUCCUGAAGAGGAAGGAAAAGAUCAUUUAAUCAAAGAACUUCAAGGGCUGGGACCCAGAAUACGGGGGAAUUGAACUCAGGACAUUUGCACUGAGCUACAUUCCAAGCCCUUCUUAAAGAACGCACUUGCUAAGUCACUGCUUUCCCUGGAUGGGCUUGAACUUUCAAACCUCCUUCCUCAGUCUCACAAAGGGACUCUCUUCAUAGUUGGAGUGGGGACAGAUGUGGGACAGAAUGUGAGAGACCCUGUCAUAUAUUCAGAGCCAUACUGGCUGGGAGAGCCACGUACUACCUGAAUAUGAAGGGCAUUCUUGCUGCGUGGAUAACAGAGUCUAUGGAAUCUCCACCUGUUCCAACCUUCAGCUCUUUUCAUCAUGAUGCAAUAUAAAGAGCAGGGACUUUACAGACAGAUAGACCUGACUUAGCACUGUGGCAACACAACUUACUCUGUGAACCUUGGACACUUCUUAGCGUCCUUAGGAGAUACGAUAAAAAAACACAGUGGAUGCUACAGACGAGUGCCAUCCAGUGAAAUGGUUUGCAAAAACAUUACAAUGUGUAUUCAUCCACCUUAUUCACCGGGCCUAGCACCAUGUGACUUCUGACUUUUCCUCCAAAACCAAAAUGACCAUGAAUGGUCAAAGUUUUGUGUUGAUUCAGGACAUCAAGGCAGCCACAACAGCACAACUAAAGACACUCAUGGUAGAGGACUUCCAAAACUGCUUCAGAAAGUGGCAAGAAUGAUGGGGUAAUUGUAUUUGAAGUGAGGGAGACUAUUUUGAGAGAGAAUAAUGGCAAUGUGUCUUUUACUGGAAUAAAUUUUUUAAACCAUUACUUUUAAAUCACAACUAAGAUAUAUUCACAAACAUG